rnacentral:miRNA from 1 species
GGAAUGGGAGGAUUGGGAAAA